CCCACGCGGGGGCCGACCAUGAACAGCUGAGAAAGUGACAUGUAAGCAUCGAAGGCCGGUGCAAAAACGGGAGCAUCCGGACCGACACCUGUCAUCGGCUGCGUUUGCCACUGCGCCUCGACGCCGAAGACGANNNNNNCACUGAUACUGAGCGCCGACGUGGGCGCCAACCUGGCCGCCCUCAGGUUUACGGGCGAGCG
rnacentral:misc_RNA from 1 species